rnacentral:lncRNA from 1 species
CACACACACACACGGCUGGGGAAAGGGGUUACCCCAGGGCGCAGCCCGGUCCGGGGGGUGGUGCCACCCCCAGCACAAGGACGUGGGAACUGCGGCUCCCAUCGGGGGUGGGGGGUGGGACAGGCUCGGGGGUGUCUCUUACCUUGUCGGAGGAGGAAGCGGCAGGACUCGUUCCUCCUCCCUCCCGCGCUGCCCCUAUGACAGGACCCGACGAAGAACCAGAUUCAGCCGCUGCGGGCUGUUCCUAGAGACUCAGCCCCGCACCGACGACCACCACCGCCGCCGCUGUGGGUGUAGGGUUUGAAAGUGCCCCCCCUCCCCGGCACUGUCGCUCCCCUCCCCCCCGUCAGAAUGUCGGUCUCCGUGUGCAGCUCUGCGGGGCUCCCAUUGGCCGCGCCACCCCACGUGACCCCAAACACGCACGAGAGACAGACGAGAACGCGCCGCCGCGAACGUUACGGGAGUUGGGCGGCGGUUGGGGAAGGAGGGAGAGUCAACGUCACAGUCCUCCUUCCGCAGUGGAUUCCCCCGGUGCCUCAGAUCUCUCGUGCACACGCGCGCAGCGCACACACACACGGAAGGAAAAUAACGGGCCCUAGCAGGCCCGAGGGCGGGGCAGGCAGGCGCGGGGCAGGGCGCAGGCGCCGGGGCGACUGCUCUUGGUCUUGGCUCCUGCGACUGGAACAUUCUGGAAAUGGCGGCUGUGGUGUCCCGGAGAUUGAGAUGAGAUGGGAUGGGAGGAGGGGGGAAGAGACUAGAGCGUCUGCUUCCCCUUGUGACAGGAACCAUGUAGGAGCCGCCAACGCUUCUUCCCGACUCCCAGGCCCAAGGCCCCUUACUUGGGCUACUCCGGGUUUUCCGGCAGCGAUGGCGCAUUCCCGGCCACUAUUUUGUGGGACAUGCUUCCCAGCCAGCUGAUCCUUUCCUCCACCUACUCUCCUGCCAUACUGGCACAUAGGCUCUCCUUUCUUCCCGAGAUACUCACUCCCACUCUUUUCCUCUUAUGUAUCAACAAUCCUCGCUAAAGGAGCUAGGCUAGCUCUUCCUCAGUUCCAGCUGCUUUUCUUGGCAUCCAGGCUGCUCUUAUUAUUUAUCUACUGUAUCUAUCUACUAGGAGCACCCAAAGGCCCCAAUCAGGAUAAGUGCUGUAUUGGGAGAAGUACUUUACAAGCCCAAGACGUUAUCCCUGUAAGCUUUUCACAACAGUGUAAUUUCAGGUGACACAAAUGUGUGUCUGACACAACAGGAAGGAAGAUGAGAGUAACAAGAAUGUGUGGAUUCUGGACAGAGAUGGAAGCACCUGAAAAGAGCCAACUCCAGAUUACCUGCCAGGUCUUUGCUCUCCAGAGCACUAGUUCCUGGACCACAGUUUAAGAACAGCUUGUUUAAUUAAUAAAUUGGUCUAAUUUUAUAAGAUCA